rnacentral:lncRNA from 1 species
AUCUAGUUUAAAAAAUGUGUCCGGUGACCCGGCAACCAACCAAGAUGGCCGCCAUGGCUAAAAAUAGAACAUAGGGGUAAAAUGCAGUUUUUGGCUUAUAACUCAAAAACCAAAGCAUUUAGAGCAAAUCUGACAGGGUAAUAUUGUUCAUCAGGUCAAGAUCUAUCUGCCCUGAAAUUUUCAGAUGAAUCAGACAUUUCGUUGUUGGGUUGCUGCCCCUGAAAUGGUAAUUUU